ensembl:rRNA 5S_rRNA 5S ribosomal RNA
GCUCACGGCCAUACUGCUCUGGAGACGCCCGAUCUCAGAAGCUAAGCAGAGUCGGGUCAGGUUAGUACUUGGAUGGGAGAGCGCCUGGGAAUCCCGGGUGCUGUGAGCU